rnacentral:rRNA from 1 species
ACGGAAGGGAGCAGUGGGGAAUAUUGCACAAUGGGGGGAACCCUGAUCCAGCGACGCCGCGUGAGUGAAGAAGUAUUUCGGUAUGUAAAGCUCUUUAAGCAGGAAAGCAAAUGACGGUACCUGCAGAAUAAGCCCCGGCUAACUACGUGCCAGCAGCCGCGGUAGUACGUAGGGGGCAAGCGUUAUCCGGAUUUACUGGGUGUAAAGGGAGCGUAGACGGCAAUGCAAGUCUGAAGUGAAAGCCCGUGGCUCAACUGCGGGACUGCUUUGGAAACUGUAUAGCUAGAGUGUCGGAGAGGUGAGUGGAAUUCCCAGUGUAGCGGUGAAAUGCGUAGAUAUUGGGAGGAACACCGGAGGCGAAGGCGGCUCACUGGACGAUUACUGACGUUGAGGCUCGAAAGCGUGGGGAGCAAACAGGAUUAAAUACCCUGGUA